AAAUUGAAGAGUUUGAUCAUGGCUCAGAUUGAACGCUGGCGGCAGGCCUAACACAUGCAAGUCGAACGGUAACAGGAAGCAGCUUGCUGCUUCGCUGACGAGUGGCGGACGGGUGAGUAAUGUCUGGGAAACUGCCUGAUGGAGGGGGAUAACUACUGGAAACGGUGGCUAAUACCGCAUAACGUCGCAAGACCAAAGAGGGGGACCUUCGGGCCUCUUGCCAUCAGAUGUGCCCAGAUGGGAUUAGCUAGUUGGUGAGGUAACGGCUCACCAAGGCGACGAUCCCUAGCUGGUCUGAGAGGAUGACCAGCCACACU
rnacentral:rRNA from 3 species